rnacentral:tRNA from 1 species
AGCAGCUUGGCGCAGUAGAUAGCGUGUUGCGCUCAUAACUUAAAGGUCCCUUGAUCGAAACAAGGAGCUGCUA